ACACGUAGGGGCCUGACGUUGUUCGGAAUCAUUGGGCGUAAAGGGCGCGCAGGCGGCCGUCCAAGUCCGGUGUUAAAUGGUCGGGCUCAACCCGAUCAUGCGCUGGAAACUGGGCGGCUGGAGUCCCGGAGGGGAUGCCGGAAUUCCAGGUGUAGGGGUGAAAUCUGUAGAUAUCUGGAAGAACACCGAUGGCGAAGGCAGGCAUCUGGCCGGAGACUGACGCUGAGGCGCGAAGGCGCGGGGAGCGAACAGGUUUAGAUACCCUGGUAGUCCGCACAGUAAACGAUGAAUACUUGUUUUCGGCGAUAUAAUGUCGGAGGCAAAGCGAAAGCGAUAAGUAUUCCACCUGGGGAGUACGCCGGCAACGGUGAAACUCAAAUGAAUUGGCGGGG
rnacentral:rRNA from 1 species